rnacentral:rRNA from 1 species
CCCGGCGACCGGCGCACGGGUGAGUAACACGUAUGGAACCUGCCCGCAGCAGGGGGAUAAGCGGAAGAAAUUCCGUCUAAUACCGCGUAACACCGCGGAGGGGCAUCCCUCGGCGGUUAAAGAUUCAUCGGCUGCGGAUGGCCAUGCGGCGCAUUAGCUAGACGGCGGGGUGACGGCCCACCGUGGCGACGAUGCGUAGGGGUUCUGAGAGGAAGGUCCCCCACACUGGUACUGAGACACGGACCAGACUCCUACGGGAGGCAGCAG